GGUUAAGUGAAUAAGGGCGCACGGUGGAUGCCUUGGCACUAGGAGCCGAUGAAGGACGGGACUAACACCGAUAUGCUUUGGGGAGCUGUACGUAAGCUAUGAUCCAGAGAUUUCCGAAUGGGGAAACCCAACAUCUUUUAUAGGAUGUUACGUUUGCGUGAAUACAUAGCGCAUUCGAGGUAGACGCAGAGAACUGAAACAUCUAAGUACCUGCAGGAAGAGAAAGAAAAUUCGAUUCCCUGAGUAGCGGCGAGCGAAACGGGAAAAGCCCAAACCAAUGAGCUUGCUCAUUGGGGUUGUAGGACUCCAAUAUGGUAGUUCUUUCAGAUAAUCGAAUGACUUGGAAAAGUCAGUCAAAGAGGGUAAAAACCCCGUAGAUGAAAUUUGGAAGGCACCUAGGAGGAUCCUGAGUACGGCGGAACACGAGGAAUUCCGUCGGAAUCCGGGAGGACCAUCUCCCAAGGCUAAAUACUCCCUAGUGACCGAUAGUGAACCAGUACCGUGAGGGAAAGGUGAAAAGCACCCCGGAAGGGGAGUGAAAUAGAACCUGAAACCGUGUGCCUACAACAAGUCAAAGCCCGUUAAUGGGUGAUGGCGUGCCUUUUGUAGAAUGAACCGGCGAGUUACGAUUGCAUGCGAGGUUAAGUCGAAGAGACGGAGCCGUAGCGAAAGCGAGUCUGAAUAGGGCGUUUGAGUAUGUAGUCGUAGACCCGAAACCAUGUGAUCUACCCAUGUCCAGGUUGAAGGUGCGGUAAAACGCACUGGAGGACCGAACCCACGUACGUUGAAAAGUGCGGGGAUGAGGUGUGGGUAGCGGAGAAAUUCCAAACGAACUUGGAGAUAGCUGGUUCUCUCCGAAAUAGCUUUAGGGCUAGCCUCGGAUUUGAGAAUGAUGGAGGUAGAGCACUGUUUGGACUAGGGGCCCAUCUCGGGUUACCGAAUUCAGAUAAACUCCGAAUGCCAUUCAUUCAUAUCCGGGAGUCAGACUGUGAGUGAUAAGAUCCAUAGUCGAAAGGGAAACAGCCCAGACCACCAGCUAAGGUCCCAAAAUAUAUGUUAAGUGGAAAAGGAUGUGGGGUUGCACAGACAACUAGGAUGUUGGCUCAGAAGCAGCCACCAUUUAAAGAGUGCGUAAUAGCUCACUAGUCGAGUGACCCUGCGCCGAAAAUGUACCGGGGCUAAACAUAUUACCGAAGCUGUGGAGUACACCAUUAGGUGUAUUGGUAGGAGAGCGUUCUAAGGGCGUUGAAGGCAGAUCGUGAGGACUGCUGGAGCGCUUAGAAGUGAGAAUGCCGGUAUGAGUAGCGAAAGACAGGUGAGAAUCCUGUCCACCGAAUGACUAAGGUUUCCUGGGGAAGGCUCGUCCGCCCAGGGUUAGUCGGGACCUAAGCCGAGGCCGACAGGCGUAGGCGAUGGACAACAGGUUGAUAUUCCUGUACUCGUUGUUUUUGUUUGAGCAAUGGAGGGACGCAGGAGGCUAAGGAAUGCAGACGAUUGGAAAUGUCUGUCCAAGCAGUAAGUCUUGAUAGGAGUCAAAUGCUUCUGUCUACACGGAUAAGCUGUGAUGGGGAGGGAAAUAAUAGUACCGAAGUUCCUGAUGUCACACUGCCAAGAAAAGCUUCUAGUGAGAAAACAAUGACCCGUACCGCAAACCGACACAGGUAGUCGAGGAGAGAAUCCUAAGGUGAGCGAGAGAACUCUCGUUAAGGAACUCGGCAAAAUGACCCCGUAACUUCGGGAGAAGGGGUGCUGAUCUUUGAUCAGCCGCAGUGAAUAGGCCCAAGCGACUGUUUAUCAAAAACACAGGUCUCUGCAAAAUCGUAAGAUGAAGUAUAGGGGCUGACGCCUGCCCGGUGCUGGAAGGUUAAGAGGAGUGCUUAGCGUAAGCGAAGGUACGAAUUGAAGCCCCAGUAAACGGCGGCCGUAACUAUAACGGUCCUAAGGUAGCGAAAUUCCUUGUCGGGUAAGUUCCGACCCGCACGAAAGGCGUAACGAUUUGGGCACUGUCUCAACGAGAGACUCGGUGAAAUUUUAGUACCUGUGAAGAUGCAGGUUACCCGCGACAGGACGGAAAGACCCCAUGGAGCUUUACUGUAGUUUGAUAUUGAGUGUCUGUACCGCAUGUACAGGAUAGGUAGGAGCCGUAGAAAUCGGAACGCUAGUUUCGAUGGAGGCGCUGGUGGGAUACUACCCCUGCGUUAUGGCCACUCUAACCCGCACCACUGAUCGUGGUGGGAGACAGUGUCAGAUGGGCAGUUUGACUGGGGCGGUCGCCUCCUAAAAGGUAACGGAGGCGCCCAAAGGUUCCCUCAGAAUGGUUGGAAAUCAUUCGAAGAGUGUAAAGGCAGAAGGGAGCUUGACUGCGAGACCAACAAGUCGAGCAGGGACGAAAGUCGGGCUUAGUGAUCCGGUGGUUCCGCAUGGAAGGGCCAUCGCUCAACGGAUAAAAGCUACCCUGGGGAUAACAGGCUUAUCUCCCCCAAGAGUCCACAUCGACGGGGAGGUUUGGCACCUCGAUGUCGGCUCGUCGCAUCCUGGGGCUGUAGUCGGUCCCAAGGGUUGGGCUGUUCGCCCAUUAAAGCGGCACGCGAGCUGGGUUCAGAACGUCGUGAGACAGUUCGGUCCCUAUCCGUCGCGGGCGUUGGAAAUUUGAGAGGAGCUGUCCUUAGUACGAGAGGACCGGGAUGGACUUACCGCUGGUGUACCAGUUGUUCUGCCAAGGGCAUUGCUGGGUAGCUAUGUAGGGAAGGGAUAAACGCUGAAAGCAUCUAAGUGUGAAGCCCACCUCAAGAUGAGAUUUCCCAUUUCUUUAAGAAAGUAAGAUCCCUGAGAGAUGAUCAGGUAGAUAGGUCAGGAGUGGAAGGCCAGUGAUGGUUGGAGCGGACUGAUACUAAUCGAUCGAGGACUUAACCAA
rnacentral:rRNA from 2 species